rnacentral:lncRNA from 1 species
UGGUUUGGAAACUCGUUAGCAUUACAAUAAAAUCACAAUAAACCUCAUUAUCUAUGUUGUUCAGGUUUAUGCAAAAUGUGGUCUUUCAUCGUCACGUGCGUAUUGUAUUUUUCUCAAGUCAACCAAUAGGAAUGUUCAAAAUGUCCUAUUGUUAAAGUCAUGGAUGGGCAAUUGGACAAAACCGUUGCUAUUGGCUGGUUGAGCAAAGAUACAAUACGCACGUGACGAUGAAAGACCACAUUUUUGCAUUACCCUGAACAAAAACAUAGAUAGUGAGGUUUAUUGUAAUGCUAAUGAGUUUCCAAACCAUCUCCUCUAUUAACUUUG